rnacentral:rRNA from 1 species
GCCCCAAGGUAAGGAAUAACGUCGAGAAAUCGGCGCUAAUACCUCAUAAUGCAGCGGAUCCGCAUGGAUAUGUUGUUAAAGGGUUUACCGCCUUGGGAUAGGCUUGCGUCUGAUUAGUUAGUUGGUGUGGUAACGGCACACCAAGGCUACGAUCAGUAACUGGUCUGAGAGGAUGAUCAGUCACACUGGAACUGAGACACGGUCCAGACUCCUACGGGAGGCAGCAGUGAGGAAUAUUGGGCAAUGCUCGAAAGAGUGACCCAGCAACGCCGCGUGGAGGAUGAAGGUAUUCUAUAUCGUAAACUCCUGUGAGAGCAGACGAAAGACAGAUUAUUAAUCUGGAUGACUGUAUGCUCAGAGGAAGCCCCGGCUAACUACGUG